AGUGAACGCUGGCGGUAGGCCUAACACAUGCAAGUCGAACGGAAGCACAGUAAGAGCUUGCUCUUACGGGUGGCGAGUGGCGGACGGGUGAGGAAUACAUCGGAUUCUACUUUUUCGUGGGGGAUAACGUAGGGAAACUUACGCUAAUACCGCAUACGAUCUACGGGUGAAAGCAGGGGAUCUUCGGACUUUGCGCGAUUGAAUGAGCUGAUGUCGGAUUAGCUAGUUGGCGAGGUAAAGGCCCACCAAGGCGACGAUCCGUAGCUGGUCUGAGAGGAUGAUCAGCCACACUGGAACUGAGACACGGUCCAGACUCCUACGGGAGGCAGCAGUAGGGAAUAUUGGACAAUGGGCGCAAGCCUGAUCCAGCCAUACCGCGUGAGUGAAGAAGGCCUUCGGGUUGUAAAGCCCUUUUGUUGGGAAAGAAAAGCAGCAGGUUAAUACCCCGCUGUUCUGACGGUACCCAAAGAAUAAGCACCGGCUAACUUCGUG
rnacentral:rRNA from 1 species